rnacentral:snRNA from 1 species
CUUCUUACCUGUCGCAAGGUUCAGGGUGGUCAAGAAUGCUCUGACCACGGGUGGAUGCUCACCACUGCACCGCGGUGGGUUGAAACUCGCGACGGACCCUAAUCGAGUGCGCUCGGGCGUGUAGUUUUUGUCAGUGGGGAGGUCUCACGGUCCUCCCUU